GAUUCUUGCAAACUAAUUUAGUGCAAGUGUUAUAAGUUUUAAGCAUCAAUCAAUUUCACUUUGCUAACCAUUAUUAUGAUUGGCUAUGCUGUUUUUCUCCCAUUAACUACACAAGAUCACAAUAAUGUUUUUAUUUUUCUUUUUUCAUUUUUUAUGGUAACUGUCAGCAUAGAAUGCAGUUAUUCCAUAUAACAUGAAGUGCUUUCUAACUAAAAAAAUGGCAUGUUAGCAACUCUUUAGAAGAGAUGAAAAAGAA
rnacentral:misc_RNA from 1 species